CGUAGGGUGCGAGCGUUAAUCGGAAUUACUGGGCGUAAAGCGUGCGCAGGCGGUUUAGUAAGACAGGCGUGAAAUCCCCGGGCUCAACCUGGGAACUGCGCUUGUGACUGCUAAGCUAGAGUACGGCAGAGGGGGUGGAAUUCCACGUGUAGCAGUGAAAUGCGUAGAGAUGUGGAGGAACACCAAUGGCGAAGGCAGCCCCCUGGGUCGAUACUGACGCUCAUGCACGAAAGCGUGGGUAGCAAACAGGAUUAGAUACCCUGGUAGUCCACGCCCUAAACAAUGUCAACUAGGUGUUGGGAGGGUAAAACCUUUUAGUACCGGAGCUAACGCGUGAAGUUGACCGCCUGGGGAGUACGGCCGCAAGGUUA
rnacentral:rRNA from 1 species